rnacentral:rRNA from 1 species
AUUGAACGCUGGCGGCAGGCCUAACACAUGCAAGUCGAGCGAGCGGCGGACGGGUGAGUAAUGUCUGGGGAACUGCCCGAUGGAGGGGGAUAACUACUGGAAACGGUGGCUAAUACCCCAUACCAUCAGAUGAGCCCAUAUGGGAUUAGCUAGUAGGUGGGGUAAUGGCUCACCUAGGCGACGAUCCCUAGCUGGUCUGAGAGGAUGAUCAGCCACACUGGAACUGAGACACGGUCCAGACUCCUACGGGAGGCAGCAGUGGGGAAUAUUGCACAAUGGGCGCAAGCCUGAUACAGCCAUGCCGCGUGUAUGAAGAAGGCCUUAGGGUUGUAAAGUACUUUCAGUGAGGAGGCGUUACCGACAGAAGAAGCACCGGCUAACUCCGUGCCAGCAGCCGCGGUAAUAC